AGCUCUCUGCUAAAGGUUACUGAAGUAUAGAGGGUGAAUUCUGCCCAAUGGUUGUACAGUGAAACUGAGGACUAACGUCUAAAGCGAAACCCAACUGAAUGGCCGCGGUAACUCUGACCGUGAUAAUGUAGCACAAUAAAUAGCCAAUUAAUUGUUGGCGGGUAUGAAUGGAACCACGAGGGUCUUACUGUCUCAAGAGGAAAGCCGAUGAAAUUAUAGUUGUAGUGAAGAUACUACAUAAACAUUGUAAGACGAAAAGACCCUAUCGAGCUUUACUGGAUACCGAUAGCGUUAACCUAAAAUGAUCGAUACUAAGUAUCCUAAUUUUGAGUUAAUAAUUUUUGUUGGUAGGACAGUUUAGUUGGGGCGACUACCUUUGAAUAAGAAACGAAGGCGAGCUUAUGGUAUACAAAGCUAAUCUCAUUAGCCUGACAGUGAGGGGGACACCCCUAGCUGGCACAAGGACUACGUCCUAUGUGGGCGAUAAUGACCCGAUAUGAUAAUCCAAAAUAAAUAUCGAAAGCGGAUAAAAGCUACCGUAGGGAUAACAGCGUAAUAUUGUCGGAGAGUUCUUAUCGAGGACAGUGUUUGCGACCUCGAUGUUGAAUUGCGGUGCCCUGGUGCUGUAGAAGGUACCUUAGGUUGGUCUGUUCGACCAUGAAAACCG
rnacentral:rRNA from 1 species